GCCGGUCGUGGUGGUGCACGCCUGUAAUCCCAGCUACUCGGGAGGCUGAGGCAGGAGAAUCGCUUGAACCCAGGAGGCAGAGGCUGCAGUGAGCUGAGAUUGUGCCACUGCACUCCAGCCUGGGCGACAGAGUGAGACUCUGUCUCAA
rnacentral:SRP_RNA from 1 species